AAUUUAAAAAUGAGAGGAUUCUGUAUUGAAAUUGUUUUUCAAGAGUCUUUAAGAUCUCAUGCUGCUUUAAAGAAAUUGAAAUUUGAAAUUGUAGAUAACACAUUACAGGUGUGAUUUAUGCCAAAAAAAGAAAAAAAGGGAGACAACCAGAAUCCCCAGUGAGGGCACCACCCUCAGAGGAAAGGCUUGGGUCCUGUGUCAAAAUACUGGCUAGUAAGUGACCAUAUAUGUGUUUUAAGGUAAAAUACAAUGUUUAAAAAUUUAUAUAAUUUCUUAAUCAUUGAUUCGUCCAUUUAACAUAUAUUUAUCAAGUACCUACUACGUGUCAGUAUUGUAGAACUUAGAAAUGAUUAAGACCAACUGAGUCCCUGUGCUCAGAGGGUUCACUGGGGUCCGGGAGACGGCUGGACACGUGCGGAAUGUACCCGGUCACCCGCUGUGUGAGCCGUGCAGGCGGGCAGAGCCGGGUGGGGGUGAGGGGGCUGCCGUGGGGAUGGCGCUGUGAGGAGGCGAGGCUGGAGCACAGAUGGCACCACGUGGGGGCUAUCAGGAGAUGGAAGGGAGCCUCCCUGGGGCAGAGGGACCAAGGGGGAAGGCUCCCAGCCGGGCCUGAGCUGGAACAGCGGGAAGGCCAUCUGCCGGGAGGGGCAGGUAGGAGGGGAGCACUCAGGGGUGUCAGCAAUCUAACUGGAGAAAAAGAGGUUCUAGGAAGCUUCCAGGCCCGGCUGGGUCCCCAGCGCGGACUGGAAGUCUCCCGCGUCCCAUCCCCUCUGGGGACCAGGUGCUUCUGCUGAGCAAUGGAGGGGGCGUGGUUCUGAGACUCCACGCCAUGGCCUGGCUUUAAUUUUCUGCCGUUUCUGCCUCCACCCCUCCGAACCGUCCUUUGGGAACAGAUGAUGCCAAAAGGGAUCGAGAACUACCUCUUCCUCCACUGUCACGUGUGCUGCCAGGGACACAGAGAAGAGGACAGAUGCUCGCUCUUGCCUCCAGGAUGUCACAACCUCGGGCUGGGCUGCCGCAGCUCCUUCUUUUUAAGCAAGUUCCUACCUCCAGCUUAGUCUGAGAGUGGACGGGAGUCCCGGCAAUCCAGGUGAGAAGAAAGAUAAGCUCAGGGAUGGCCGUGAAGGGUUGGGGACAGAGCAGCUGGAGACCCCCUCUUAUGACUGGAUGGUGGGGCCCCCUCUCCUGCACCAACCCUCCAGCUGGAGGAGGGGCUCCCCUCCAGGAGAGUCUGGAGCUGCGGACUAGGGGAGACUUGGAAACCUGUAGUCCCCGUGGCCUUGUUGUUACAGGCAAGAGGUGACUUUUGACUCGUUAUUGAGUGAUUCAGGGUCUAUUUUGCUACAGAAAUACAUACAAAGUCGCCAGGCAAAGCACAGAGCAAAGUAGCUUCUCAAGGCACAUAAGCCUCCAACUAUGAUUGUUUUUGCCUUGGAGUUGCUUUCAGUUUUAUUAAAAACAAAACAAAACAAAACAAAAUCAAAAUUCGGCUGAGUAAACUUGAAGAUCUGAUUGGCUCUAUUAGGCAAUUCAUAGUUGGGGCAGCAUCCCACCCAUAGUUGGGAUGAGGCGGGGCUCCAAGGGGCUGUCCAAAGUGGAGGGUUUUUAUAGGCAGGAGGGUGGGGCCAGAGGAUGAGCAGCAAAAGAAAAGAAAGGACUGUUUCAGGUCAGGAGGGCUUCUUUUGCCUGAAGGGAAGGCAGGGGUCUUACUAGGAAAAUUAUCUCACCAGCCUUGAUCUGGAAAUUUCAGACUGACUGUUUUAAAGGUGGUAUUUCUGGGAGGGGUUGAAACGGCAAUUAAGUCUUGGUUUGCUGAGAGGGUGUGGGUGGGGUGCAAAGGAUUCCAUUUGGGGACUUGGUUUUUUUUUAACAGCUUUCUCAACCAGUGUCUCUCAUAUUUUGCAGAGUCCUCUGCCCUCAAUUAACAGGGUGGGGACCAGGGAGCAGCUUGGCUUCCUUACAGAGUGUUUCGUCACACUAAUUUCUGCUCCCAAGUUAAUGAAUUUCAGGCAAAUUUUUCACCAUGUGCACAGAGUGAACGCUUGGGUGACAUUUUUACAGGCACCCAAAAUACUUUCUAUAAUACUGUUAGCGAAUAAGAAAAUGACAGCCCACUAGUCAUCAAAACCACGCCUAGGAUUUCCAAUGUUUAAGAACUGCCUGGCUCAGGGGGUGCUGAACGCAGGGUUUCCAGCUGAAACGGUGCUACUGCUGUGAUAUUGUAUGUGAUAAAAAUAUGUAUUUGGUUUUGUCCCAUGUUCCUGGCACAGGGCUUCCAGGACCCUUGGAACUUCCUGAGUGAUGGAGGUGAUGGGGACACCUUCACCUGGCUUUAGUCAUUCACAGCCAGCCCCUUGGAGGAUGGGGCUGGUUGCUAGAGGAACCUACCAGUGAUUAAAGGGUUAGACCUUUCAGCCUCACUCCACCCCUGUGGAGGGGAGAGGAGCUGGUGACUGAGUUCUGCUACGGAAGCCAGUGAUGUAAUCGGUCAUGCCUUUGUAAUGAAGCCUCCCUAAAAACCCGAACUCAAGGGCCUUGGAGAGCCUCCAGGUAACUGAACACCUGGAGGUGCUGGGAGGGCCGUGCACCUGGACCGCUCCAGGCUCCGCUCCACACACCUUACCCAGGGCAUCCCUUCUGCCUGGCAGCUCCUGAGCUCAAGCCUUUAUAAUAAAUGGAUAACAGUUAAGUCACCUGUUUCCCUGGGUUCUGUGAGCUGUCCUGGUAAAUUACUGAACCUGAGGAGGGGGUUGUGGGAACCUCCAGUUUGUAGCCAAGUUGGGCAGAAGUUGUGGAAAAAUCAGGGACCCACUCCUUGUGGCUGGUGUCUGAGGCUGGGGGCAGUCUUGUGGGACUGAGCCCUUAACCUCAGAGUCUGGGUUAAUUCUGGGCAGUCUGUGUCAGAACUGAGUUAAAUUGUAGGACACCCAGUCAGUGCUGCUUGGUUUGGAAAAACCCACACUUUGGUAUCUGAAGUAUAUGAAAGCUGAGGUUUUUCUUUUAACUCUGGUUAGUAGUAUAAACACCACUUGUAACCUCCCUGUCCUACCAGCUUUGAAAUCGUGUGAAUCUUGACAAAUUCUUACAACUCAGAGCCAUUUGAAUCACUUCAAAGUUUGCAAACAAAGU